AUGAUAAUGCAUAAACUUGAGCUGCCUGCAGAUUUUGGGGUUAGUCCCACUUUUAACAUUGCAGAUUUGAAGCCUUAUUUGGGUGAGGAAGAUGAACUUCCGUCGAGGACGACUUCAUUUCAAGAAGGGGAGGAUGAUGAGGACAUCAAUACAAUUGUUACACCCACAGCCCCUGCUGCUAUACAUACUGGACCAAUUACUAGAGCUCGUGCACGCCAACUAAAUUACCAGGAAACAGACCCUCGUGGUCAGGUUGAUCGUGCUCCGGCGUGGUCAAUAACCUCUCGGAGUUGGUUUAGCGAUUGCUAA
rnacentral:rRNA from 1 species